rnacentral:misc_RNA from 1 species
GAUGAAGAACGUAGCGAAAUGCGAUAAGUAAUGUGAAUUGCAGAAUUCAGUGAAUCAUCGAAUCUUUGAACGCACAUUGCGCCCCCUGGUAUUCCGGGGGGCAUGCCUGUCCGAGCGUCAUUGCUGCCCUCAAGCACGGCUUGUGUGUUGGGCCCCCGCCCCCCGGCUCCCGGGGGGCGGGCCCGAAAGGCAGUGGCGGCACCGCGUCCGGUCCUCGAGCGUAUGGGGCUUUGUCACUCGCUCGUGUAGGUCCGGCCGGCGCCAGCCGACACCCAUCAAUCUUACCCAGGUUGACCUCGGAUCAGGUAGGGAUACCCGCUGAACUUAAGCAUAUCAAUAAGCGGAGGA